UUACGGCCAUAUCAUGUUAAAAAAACUGGUUCCCGUACGAUUACCAUGUUAAGCAACGUCGAGACUGGUCAGUACCUUGAUCGGUGACCGCUUGGGAAUACCAGGUGCUGUAA